rnacentral:rRNA from 1 species
GGGGAAUUUUGCGCAAUGGGCGAAAGCCUGACGCAGCAACGCCGCGUGAGUGAUGAAGGCCCUCGGGUCGUAAAGCUCUGUCGGGAGGGAAGAAGUGAUUGAGGGUUAAUACCCCUUGAUCUUGACGGUACCUCCGAAGGAAGCACCGGCUAACUCCGUGCCAGCAGCCGCGGUAAUACGGAGGGUGCAAGCGUUGUUCGGAAUUAUUGGGCGUAAAGCGCGUGUAGGCGGUUUCUUAAGUCUGAUGUGAAAGCCCCGGGCUCAACCUGGGAAGUGCAUUGGAAACUGGGGGACUUGAGUACGGGAGAGGGUAGUGGAAUUCCUAGUGUAGGAGUGAAAUCCGUAGAUAUUAGGAGGAACACCGGUGGCGAAGGCGGCUACCUGGACCGAUACUGACGCUGAGACGCGAAAGCGUGGGGAGCAAAC